CCAAAUCUCUCUCUUUCUCUCUAAUCAUCAAUUUCAAUCAUCCACACGCAUCCACACGUGCUGUGCGAGGUCAGAUAUUUCCAUCAGGGGAGCUACUGUGUUUGAUCUCCUGGCCUAAAAUCAGGCCAUUCCAUACCUCAGGCGGGCCAUAGAAAAUGGACGGACAGAAAAAAUUCUUUAAACUUUCUGGCGCAUGUUAGGUAUGAAAAUGCGUCCAUUUUUUCUUUUUAUGUACGCAUUAUUCCCAACCAGAUGGAAAGCUCAGAUCUCGCACACGUGUUCAACGUUUGCGGUGUGCCUGCUUGUGAAUCCUAUAUUGCUAUUUAUUUUGGAACAUGAAAAACCAUCUCUCUUAAAAAUAAAAAUUGAUAAUUAAUCAUUGAUAGGAGCGCAGAGAAUACGUUCGAGAGCAGUGUUCGAGUGGAUAAAGGGAAAUUACCUCGUGGGGUCAAGGUGGCCCCACCUAGGAUGAUGGUGAACCAUUGGAUGUAUUGGGCUCAAUUUGGAUUGUGCAUUGCUACAUUCUCACCCUGAUUGGAUGGUCUUAGAUAUGUAUGAGUUAAGGGCUGGAAUAUUGGAUGGUAAGACUAUUUGGGCAUGGCACAAGAGUCAUCCCAUUCAGAUUGAUCACAGCCAUCUGAUUAAGGGAAAGUUAGAUUUGUUUGUGUCCAAUUUCUUGGCACUUAAUGGGAUGGUUGUGAGCAUCCAAUCAGGGUGAUUCUAUGGCCAUGCAUAAUCCACAACGCUAUUGUUGUAAUUCCGAGCCUACAACAAACCCGGAUCAACCCUAGAUAUUAGAUAUUCAGAUAUAAUACUAUUGUCAAUCUUGCGCUUUGUGGAAGCACAUUCAAUGAAGAUAGAACAAUCAAACUAGAAUCCGCCUAUCAAGUAAGCACAAACACACGAUUUUAUGUGGAAAACGCUUUCGGGAAAAACCACGGCACAAAGCUAUAGAGAUUUCCACUAUAAUAGAAACCUUCGAGUUACACCAUUCUCCUUCUCCUUUUACAGAAGCAAUCCGAUCUCCCCUUGCAAUGCACACCCAUAGGAAAAACCCUAGCCCCUGAGAAAAAUCCAUUCCAAAGCCAUUACAAGUGUAGAAAACCCCCUCACAAUGUAAAACUCUUACCCUAUGAGAGAAAACACUCGUCCUCUUUAAGCCCUAAUCGAAUUAGGACUUAAAUAGCCCGACUUGCGGUAACAAAGUUGUUGACUAUUGGUCGGACCGAACUCACCUUCGGUCAGACCGACUUGGACCAACAGAGUCCUGCUCUACUCCUGACUUCUGACCAAGAAAUCCUACACUGUAGAUUGACAGAACCUUGCUUCGACUCCCAAACUAUGUAGAAUCCAAGGCAUCCACACAACAGCUAUGAUCAUAGGGAAAUAUAUGAAUUAAACAAGUCUGCAGCUGAAAUAGGAAACUCUUGCCUGAUUGAGCCGAAUCAUAAGACUGAAAGCAAAUACCUAGUGACGAAAAUGUUUUAUUGCCUGCUCGAGGUGUGGAUUGUUGCUUUCCUUGAGAUAGUUUGCUUCCCCAGGUAGAAAAUCUGGUAGACCAGUUUCUCUAAGUGCUAUCUCUCAGGAUACACAAUUGCCCAAUAUACAAUGCCUCAUGGUUUACACAGACCAAUUAUGCCCAAGACCAAUAUCCACCCAACAAUAUCCUUAUAUGUGCAGGAAAGAGGGGGAAAAAAAAAAAAAAAACUGGCGUCAAGGAGAUAGAAAGAAAAUGUUUUGCAACAACAUGAAAAACCACCAAUGACUUGUAUCAUUUGGAAAUAAACCAACACUGAUUGGGUUCUACUGAGGAAUUUUCAUCAUAAUACAAUCAGAAGAAUUCUUAUUGCAUCAUCGAGUAGCUCAAAACCCUGUUCUUAAAUGGAAAAUAACAGGUAACUUGCAUGGUUACAUUUCAUUGUUUGUUGGAUCUCCACCUUAAAUGGGGCCCAUCCAUGGUAUGCAGAACACUGGAGCACUUCUGGUGUGUCCCAACUGGAUGGCCCAUGGCACAAAAAUCCUGCAGAUCAUACAAUCUGGUGUGUCCUACCAUGUCUUUGAACUUAUGGUUGGGACUUGGGAGUUGAAGCUAUAAAAGGCUGACGGUUCAUGUUUAAUGAGAAAAUGUCAGCUAUAUGGCUGGGUAGGAUCAUUUGAUCAGUGGAAGCAAUGGGCUGUCCAUAGUGGGGCCCACUGAAGGAAUGUAUUAGAUCGCCUAAGGAUAGGGUCCAUGUAUGACAGACAUCUAUCUUGGACAGCUCCUCAUAGAUUUGGCCUGGCCCCCCAUGAUUAUGGGGAUCCUCCACCACUAACACUUGGAUCAUGACAGUCGUGAUUGGGCAGAAAAAUUGAAACUCAUUGCUCGAACUAACAUUUCUGCAAUCUCUUUUUCCUCUCUUGGAGGUACAUAUUAAAGCAUCUUUAAGGGUCAUUUACAUGAAAUGGAGGAUGAUGAGAGGUUGGUGGGCUUUCACCGAGUGUUGUUGGUAGAAAAUGGGAUACCUUUAAGGGUGCAUUAGGACACUAUCGAUUUGAACUGCGAUAACUAUUGUUACAAAUGGUGCAUUUGGAUGCACUAGAAUUGGAUUCCAAUUUCUUUAGUAUUCAUUACAAGGGCGUUGGUUCCAAAUUGCAGUUAUGUUCCGUUACGUUCUAGUUGGGCUCAAGAAUAAAUCAUGAUCAUCAUCAUCUAAACCUUAUCCUAACUAAUUGGGAUCGGCUACAUGAAGCCUUCUUGACUGUUCUACUCUAUCAAGGGCCAUAACUUCAGUCAGACCAUAGCCCAUAGGUCAGCGAGGCUUUUCUUACUGCCUCCACCCAAGUCCUUUUGGGCCUUCCCCUUACCCUUUUAGAGCCUUCAACUUGUACCAACUCACUUUAGAUAGUCCUAAAACAUCUUUUGCCACUUUUCUAAUGCACUCAGCCAUCUCAUUCCAUGUAACGUUUACUUCUUCCUUGACAUUCCAAGUUCAUUCUUUCAUCAAUUUAUUUCUGAAUAAUUUAAAUUCCACCACCUAGUUUUUGGACACCUAUUAAUUUCAUUCCUUUUCUUUCAUGUCUAAUGUAAACAUCUAUAACCAUUAACCUAUGUAACUAUAAUUUGAUGGCUACUUAUUCAUUACAUAUACUAAGGAAAAUCACUAGUCUCAAUCAAACUAAAUGUUCACAAUUCAUUUCCGGUUAAACUCAAUGUUUGCUAUUCAUUUCCUGUGAGAUUGCAAGAGGAACUGAUGUUUGAAGAUAGAAAGCGAUGUACAAAAGUGUUAAUAGCUCUUUAUAUCCAAGAACCCAGGAUUGUGAUCAAUGUAUGCACAUAUAAUCAAUAUUAAUGUUUAUUGAUAAAGAUAAACAAUAAAGCUCUUAGAUCACAUAAUGUUAGUGUCACCUUAUCAUUUGGUUGAGAUAAAUUGUUCAUAUAUUUUGGAUUUAGAUACCUUUCAACCAAGCCAACACAUAUCUUCUUUUUUUCCUUCGUUUCUUUUUAAAAGUGCUUCUUGUAUGUUUUCCAAGUACCGCUACAUGGUCGCUAAUUGUUAAGCAUUUGAAUAAAACCCACUUCUUGCUGGGUUGUUCAUGGAAUAUAAUACUUUCAUACAAUAGACCACCUAUGGGUUUGAUUCAGGAUAAGGUUACCUCAAGUUUCGGUGAAGGAUUAAGUAGUCGUUGUUCACUAAGGGUAUGAAUGCUGACAGGAACAUGGAGCAAAACCAUCACUUGUUUACUUCAUGGUUCUUGUUUAAGAAGUUCAAUGUCCGUGCUUAUGUGUAUAUACCUAAGCAUAGUAAGAUUUAGAAGUUCUCUAAUCCCACGUGCGUAUCUGAGGUGGGUAAUCUUUUUUCCACCAAUUUUCCAAUGUGGUAGAUUGGUGCCGGAUCUAAGCCAUCCCAUCAGGUGGGUCCCACCCACUGUUCAAUUAUAUCAUCCAAUUCGACUUAGUUUUGCCUGAAUUCUAUCAGCUUUGGUGGGCAAUUGAGUUAUUGGACUGAAACAGAAUCAGUCAGGGUGAGUUGUUCUAGCUUUGGUCUCUAGACGAGUUGCACUCUAGACCGUAAUCCAUGGUCCGACCAAAUGUUUUCAGUAUCGAUGAUAUCGGCCAAUAUAUCUUGUCUCCCACUUGUGUGAUAUGAAACACACAGGUAGUGCCGAUAUAUCCUACCCGUUUGAUCCGAUGAGCAUUUCUAAUUUUCAAUCCUUUUUUUUUUAAUUUUUUGUAAAUCAUGUUAAAUCAGGGUCAAAUGGUUACCAAUCUAUGAUUCCUCAUGUUUUGCAUGAAAAAAUCAUGGAUUUGAAACUUUGAUUUUGAUAAUUGGGAGAGAUGGGCCGACUUGUGGAAAAUUGGAAAAUUUUGAAAAAAAUUCAAGUUCUUGCAAAUUUGUUGCAAUCUUUGUGUCCUAACACAAAAUCAAACAUGUAUCUAACUUGAUCUAGUGAUUCCUGGUAAUAUAGGGAUUUUUUUCGGGAAAAAAAUAUUUUUAAUUAAAAAUGUUAAAAAAGUAUUUUUCAAAUUUCACUUUGAUUAGAGAUCAAUUGGCUCCCAUUUUAGAGUCUAGGAGUGUUUAAUGAAAUCAUCAUCACAUGCACUCUAAUUUUGGGAUUUGGGGGAAUAUGGGCCAAUUUGCGGAUUUUUUU